GACGAACGCUGGCGGCGUGCUUAACACAUGCAAGUCGUACGAUGAAGCUAGAGCUUGCUCUGGUGAAUUAGUGGCGAACGGGUGAGUAACACGUGAGUAACCUGCCCCGAACUCUGGGAUAACUGCUGGAAACGGUAGCAAAUACUGGAUACGACCUACGAAGGCAUCUUCUGUAGGUGGAAAGAAUUUCGGUUCGGGAUGGACUCGCGGCCUAUCAGCUUGUUGGUGAGGUAAUGGCUCACCAAGGCGACGACCGGUAGCCGGCCUGAGAGGGUGACCGGCCACACGGGGACUGAGACACGGCCCAGACUCCUACGGGAGGCAGCAGUGGGGAAUAGUGCACAAUGGGCGCAAGCCUGAUGCAGCAACGCCGCGUGAGGGAUGACGGCCUUCGGGUUGUAAACCUCUUUUAGUAGGGAAGAAGCGAAAGUGACGGUACCUGCAGAAAAAGCACCGGCUAACUACGUGCCAGCCGCCGCCGUAA
rnacentral:rRNA from 1 species